rnacentral:lncRNA from 1 species
CCUGCUGUUUGGAAAUUAUCUGUUCCCACCAGGAUUAACAUUUUUCUGUGGCUCCUGGGAUAUAAUAAGCUUAUGACUAAGGAUAAUCUGCUUAAAAGACAUAUAGAUAGAGGUAAAGAAUGUCUUUUCUGCUCCUGUGAUGAAAGCAUCACUCAUAUUUUCUUUGAUUGUGUGGUGCCCACUGCUAUCUGGAACAUCAUGCACAGUUUCUUUAAGAAACCAGACACCCUCUCUUAUGAAUCAGUAGCGAAACUAUGGGUUUCUAACAAGAAACAUCUAGUUUUGAACAUGGUUAAUGCUGCGGUUCUCUGAUGCAUCUGGAAAUUUAGAAACAACAUGAUUUUUGACUAUCUUCCUUGGAUUGAUUUCAAACAGAUAGGGUGGAGCAUCCUGCAGGCGCUAAGAUCAUGGAUGAUACUUCUGCCCAGCAACAAAGAGAGCUGGGAGCCUUUUUGAAUCACCUGCUGCAUUACCUCAAACAGCCUCUGAGGAUAAAAAGUGGAUAACCUCUCUGGACACGCAAGCUUGCUUGGGGGGUCUCAGUCUGUCAGACGAUGAAGGACCAGCGUCCCCUACCAGCGAGAAGACAGGGAAGCACAACAUCAUCAGCCCAAUCUCAGUUCUGGAGAUGGGGGUGUGGUCUCCAUCACCCGGGGCGGCGCCGAUGAAAAGGGUCAAGAAGAUGAUGUCCACGGGCUCAGUGAAACCGAAGCUGCAGAUCGCGAUGUAAUUCGUCUCUAGUUCACCUUCGGUUGCCUGCGAGCAACUCUCAUUCGAAUAGUUUGUUUUUAUCUUCCUAGUUUCUUGUUUGCCUUCUGGUACAUGCUGGACAUGACGUUUUCGGACCUAUCUGGUUUCAUUCUGAGUAAUGGAACUAGAAAAUGACUGAUAAAUAUAUUCCUAAACGAAUAUCACAUAACUUUUGUACAUGUGCAUCAAGGAUUUUCUUGUUGGAGUUGAAAGUGAUGAACAAAACGUGAACAAAAAAAGAUAGAAUCAACAAAUUUCGUAUAAUUAUAACCUUUUCAUCUCUAAAGUGUUUACGCAU